rnacentral:rRNA from 1 species
GAUGAACGCUGGCGGCGUGCCUAAUACAUGCAAGUCGAGCGAACAGACGAGGAGCUUGCUCCUCUGACGUUAUGGGCGCACGGGUGUGUAACACGAGUAAAACCCACCUAUAAGACUGGGAUAACUUCGUGAAACGGGAUCAAAUACCUAAUAAUAUAUUGAAGCGCAUGGUGCAAUAGUGAAUGACGGGUUUGCUUUCACUUAUAGAUGGAUCCGCGCUGCAUUAGCUAGUUGGUAAGGUAACGGAUUAUCAAGGCAAGGAUGGGUAGCCGCUCUGAGGGGGUGAUCGGCCACACUGGAACUGAGACAGGGCCCCGAGUCCUACGCGAGGCCGCAGUAGGGAAUCUUACGCAAGGGGGGAGAGCCUGACGGAGCACCGCCGCGUGAGUGCUGAAGGUCUUACGAUCGUAAAACUCUGUUAUUAGUGAAGAACAAAUGUGUAAGUAACUAUGAACGUCUUGACGGUACCUCAUCAGAAAGCAACGGCUAACUACGUG